CCUACGGGGCGCAGCAGUGGGGAAUAUUGGGCAAUGGAGGAAACUCUGACCCAGCAACGCCGCGUGAAUGAUGAAGGUCUUCGGAUUGUAAAGUUCUUUUCUAAGGGAAGAAGAAAGUGACGGUACCUUAGGAAUAAGCCUCGGCUAACUACGUGCAAGCAGCAGCGGUAAUACGUAGGAGGCAAGCGUUAUCCGGAAUGACUGGGCGUAAAGGGUGAGUAGGUGGUUUGAUAAGUUGGUAGCGUAACUACGAGGCUCAACCUCGGCACUACUACCAAAACUGUCGGACUUGAGUGCAGGAGGGGCAACUGGAAUUCCUAGUGUAGCGGUGGAAUGCGUAGAUAUUAGGAGGAACACCAGUGGCGAAGGCGAGUUGCUGGACUGUAACUGACACUGAGGCACGAAAGCGUGGGGAGCAAACAGGAUUAGAUACCCUUGUAGUC
rnacentral:rRNA from 1 species